AGUGAAAUGAAGCGUUUGAAAGAUCAUAUCUCUUUCGAUAAUUAUUAGAAGAUGUCCUACUACUACGUGGUGUGUGUAGUUGUUGCAGUCUUGCUGCUCAGUCAGUUGGAAUUUGCUGAAAUGCUUCCAUUACCGGGAAAGUUAAGAGGUCCUUAUGUGCCUGACACAUUCGAGUCCUCUCCUUAACUCUGUAAGUCGGCUAAAAUGUCAAGCUUUAAGCAAGAAGACUUGGAUAAAAUUAUGCAACAGGACGGAAGAAACCAUUCGGCAACAAAACAAACAUAAACAUUGUCUGAUGUUCUUUCGGCUCAAAUAAAGUCUUCUGAAAUGUU